GGGCCGGUGGUCUAGCGGCUAUGACGUCACCCUUACAAGGUGAAGAUCGCAAGUUCGAAUCUUGCCCGGCCCACCA
rnacentral:tRNA from 1 species